rnacentral:lncRNA from 1 species
UUCGAGUGAAGGCUAUGGAUUGUACCCUAGAUCCCCUUCUGCUGUGUCAGCUUCACAUGAAGCAAUCUUGCCUCAAGAAAGAGAGUCUACCAUAUUUGGUAUAAGGGGAAAGAAGUUACACUUUUCAUCGUCUUACAAAGCAUCUCCCAGCACCAAAGCCUCUGGCUCGUCUGCUGAUGGAGAGGAGGCGGACUGUAUAAUCUUCUCUGAAGGAAUAAUCGAGGAGUACCUAGCUUUUGACCACACAGAUAUGUGAGUACCUCCUUUCAAGAGUCUCACUCUGGUGUAUCUAUUAGCGUCUACUUUUUUAGAGACUGAUUACUAAUGUCGCCUGAAGUAGAUUUGUAACCAUUUGGAAUCUGUUUCCAGUUAGCUCCCACAUGCACAGCUCAUGUCCUGUUGCUCCCACACACCAGGGUCCUCCAUACCUUCUUCUCCACUUACGGUUUGCCUUUUCUAUAAUCAGAUGUUUAAAUGACUAAUUUUAUCUACAUAAUCUGAUUUUAUCCUUUUAUAAAUUAUCACCAGUGAUAACAUCAAAAAGUUGAAGAGGUGUGAACUUUGUUUAAAAUAAACUUUCUUACUUUG